AUUUGUUGGGUAAAGCGUUUUCGGGCCUCAGUGGGUCCCUCGUCAGUACAUUAUCAGCAAAAAGAACUUAACCUUUGAUGAGAGACCCACUGAGGUCCGAAGGCGUUUUACGUGGUGGGUUCGGAUACUUGCAUUCGGAGCUGUUUAUGAACUUUACUGUAAAACAGGCAAGUGAUUUUACUUAUGAUUUUAUAUUUGCUAUGCUGAGCCGACGAUGGAAGUGUACGAAAAAAUAACUCUCCUUAAGUUGAAUAAAGAUAUCUUAAGGGCAGAAGAAUUAGUAAUGUUCCUUAGACAGUGUAAGAUUAACCGCAUAUUCCCAAUGUCGAUCUACCACAUUAGGCUACCCGUACGAUCAAAGUAUAUACAAUGCCAAGUUAAAUCUCGGUGUCUGAACUCUGUCACUUUGCUAUCACUGAUGCAAGACGAAGAUUCUUUGCUUUAAAAAGUAAGUGC
rnacentral:lncRNA from 1 species